CUGCUGUAGUUUAAUUAAAAUAUGAGUUUUGUAAACUUAAGAUAGUUAUAACUGUUGACUUUGCGGCAG
rnacentral:tRNA from 1 species